rnacentral:rRNA from 1 species
GCGUGCCUAUACAUGCAGUCGAACGCUUCUUUUUCCACCGGAGCUUGCUCCACCGGAAAAGAGGAGUGGCGAACGGGUGAGUAACACGUGGGUAACCUGCCCAUCAGAAGGGGAUAACACUUGGAAACAGGUGCUAAUACCGUAUAACAAUCAAAACCGCAAGGUUUUGAUUUGAAAGGCGCUUUCGGGUGUCGCUGAUGGAUGGACCCGCGGUGCAUUAGCUAGUUGGUGAGGUAACGGCUCACCAAGGCCACGAUGCAUAGCCGACCUGAGAGGGUGAUCGGCCACAUUGGGACUGAGACACGGCCCAAACUCCUACGGGAGGCAGCAGUAGGGAAUCUUCGGCAAUGGACGAAAGUCUGACCGAGCAACGCCGCGUGAGUGAAGAAGGUUUUCGGAUCGUAAAACUCUGUUGUUAGAGAAGAACAAGGAUGAGAGUAACUGUUCAUCCCUUGACGGUAUCUAACCAGAAAGCCACGGCUAACUACGUGCCAGCAGCCGCGGUAAUACGUAGGUGGCAAGCGUUGUCCGGAUUUAUUGGGCGUAAAGCGAGCGCAGGCGGUUUCUUAAGUCUGAUGUGAAAGCCCCCGGCUCAACCGGGGAGGGUCAUUGGAAACUGGGAGACUUGAGUGCAGAAGAGGAGAGUGGAAUUCCAUGUGUAGCGGUGAAAUGCGUAGAUAUAUGGAGGAACACCAGUGGCGAAGGCGGCUCUCUGGUCUGUAACUGACGCUGAGGCUCGAAAGCGUGGGGAGCAAACAGGAUUAGAUACCCUGGUAGUCCACGCCGUAACGAUGAGUGCUAAGUGUUGGAGGGUUUCCGCCCUUCAGUGCUGCAGCUAACGCAUUAAGCACUCCGCCUGGGGAGUACGACCGCAAGGUUGAAACUCAAAGGAAUUGACGGGGGCCCGCACAACCGGUGGAGCAUGUGGUUUAAUUCCAACAACGCGAAGAACCUUACCAGGUCUUGACAUCCUUUGACCACUCUAGAGAUAGAGCUUCCCCUUCGGGGGCAAAGUGACAGGUGGUGCAUGGUUGUCGUCAGCUCGUGUCCUGAGAUGUUGGGUUAAGUCCCGCAACGAGCGCAACCCUUAUUGUUAGUUGCCAUCAUUCAGUUGGGACAUCUGCCAGGACCGCCCGUGAAGAACCGGAGAAGGGUUGGGGAUGA